rnacentral:misc_RNA from 1 species
AUCAGACGAACAUCGUCGGCUGCACAUCAGCUACUGCGGCGGCGGCGGCGUGGUCUGCCGCGGCGGCGAAGUGCGCAACGUGCACAUCGGCACGUGCGACAUUGAAAGCUGCAUGACGCCUGACGGGCCGGCGACGGCGAACGUGUUGAUCGAUUGCACCGGCGGCUCGACGGCGGAGGUCGCAAUCACCGGCUGCACGAUCCAGCACAACAGCAAGUCACCGGAUUCCGCGAACAUUCGCAUCUUGGGGCGGGGCGCGGCAUCAAGCCGGAUACGCAAGGCCAGUGGGGGCAUGUGACCAUUGGCGACAACGUGCUCUCCGAUGUGCGCGUGAACGUCGAUUUGGUCGAUUGCCGCGGCGUGACGCUCACCAACAACACGUUCUGGAUGGGUUAUGACUACAACCUGCGAAUGCAAGGCUGCCAGCAGGUCGUCGUCGGCCCGAACCUGUUCGAGCGCAAUCCAGCGUAUGACUAUGGCGACAGCACGACGACGAAGAAUGCGCUGCGGUUGACGAACUGCAAAGACGUCACGCUGACCGGCUUGCACAUACAAGGCGUGCGCGGCGCGGAAGCGGCGCUGGUGCUCGAUCGCUGCGAGCGGCUGCAUUUGUUUGGCGCAACAAUACUCGAUUGCGAACCAACGGGCCGUGCUACUGAAGGACUCGACGCGCUGCCGGAUUGUCGAUUGCUACGUCGCAGCGGGGGGACAAAGUCCUGCCGCUGAAGGAGAGUAUUCGCGUUGUUGGCGGGGCGGAGAACGAGAUUAGCGAAUGAUCGCCAAGCGGAACUUUUCGGAUCGAUGCGCGUCUAACGGGGUGGCAUGUAAGUAGCGGUGGCUUCCAGCCGCCGUGCGGUGGCUAGAAGCCCCCGCUACGAAUUCUCGCUAACCAACAUGGAGCUUGAUCAUGAUCCGCCUCGCACUUCUUGCGUCCCUGGCUUUCACGUCAUUAACCUCCGCGGCUUACGCCUGCAGUUGCGCGGAGCCGCCGUCCCCGCAGAAAUCGCUGGAAAGCGCCGCCGCGGUCUUCAGCGGCAAGGUGACGAAGGUUGAGCCCGUCGGCAAGUUUGAAAAGGAGGUCACGCUGGAGGUCGUCGCGACCUGGAAGGGGGUCGCCAAGGACAAGAAGGAAGUCGUGAUCCGCACCGCUAUCGACGGCGGCGCCUGCGGCUACGAGUUCGAGAAGGGGAAGGUGUACUUCAUCUACGCCUACGCCGUGAAGACCGAGGAAGAGAAGUAUCUCGAAACGAAUAUCUGCACGCGCACCACGACCAUCGAAGGGGCGGCGGGCGAUAUCAAGGAACUGGGCGAAGGAACAAAGCGCGGCAAGUGAGCUGCGACUAUAGCCCCAACAGCAGCCGAUCGCGCAGUGUAAGUGCGAUGCCGGCCGCGCGCAGGUAGGCGGCCACAAGUCGCGUCUUCGUCGGUCGGGCGGCGCAAUUGGUGCGCAGAUAGUCCUCGAUCAACAGCCGCCAAUUGCCGCGGCACCAGUUGGCCGUCACGACCGUAAUCGACACGUCCGGCAUCGCGGUCGUGUGCCACCAGCCGUUGGGGCAGAACAGCGUCUCGCCCGGCUGCAGCCGGAAGCGAAUCGGUUUCGCCCGCGCCAAGAGCGGAUAGCGGACGAGAUCGGGCUCAUCGAAGUCUUCAAUGGGGCAAAUCAAGGGAUUCUCCGCCGUGGGAUAAAGAAACGGCGUUUGAUCCGGCGCAAAGAGCAGCACUUCCUUCUCGCCAUAAAGCUGCGAGAGGAACGCAUCCAUGCCCCAAUAAUCGACGUGCAGCCCAGGGAAUUUCGCUCCCGCGCCGCCGAUGAACAUUUCCUCCAGCCCGUUGUCAAAGC